rnacentral:rRNA from 1 species
GACGAACGCUGGCGGCGUGCUUAACACAUGCAAGUCGAACGGAAAGGCCCUGCUUUUGUGGGGUGCUCGAGUGGCGAACGGGUGAGUAACACGUGAGUAACCUGCCCUUGACUUUGGGAUAACUUCAGGAAACUGGGGCUAAUACCGGAUAGGAGCUCCUGCUGCAUGGUGGGGGUUGGAAAGUUUCGGCGGUUGGGGAUGGACUCGCGGCUGAUCAGCUUGUUGGUGGGGUAGUGGCUUACCAAGGCUUUGACGGGUAGCCGGCCUGAGAGGGUGACCGGCCACAUUGGGACUGAGAUAAGGCACAGACUCCUACGCGAGGCAGCAGUGGGGAAGAGUGCACAGUGGGCGGAAGCCUGAUGCAGCAACGCCGCGUGCGGGAUGACGGCAUUCGGGUUGUAAACCGCUUUCGCCUGUGACGAAGCGUGAGUGACGGUAAUGGGUAAAGAAGCACCGGCUAACUACGUG